AGUGAACGCUGGCGGUAGGCCUAACACAUGCAAGUCGAACGGCAGCACAGUAAGAGCUUGCUCUUACGGGUGGCGAGUGGCGGACGGGUGAGGAAUACAUCGGAAUCUACCUUUUCGUGGGGGAUAACGUAGGGAAACUUACGCUAAUACCGCAUACGACCUACGGGUGAAAGCAGGGGAUCUUCGGACCUUGCGCGAUUGAAUGAGCCGAUGUCGGAUUAGCUAGUUGGCGGGGUAAAGGCCCACCAAGGCGACGAUCCGUAGCUGGUCUGAGAGGAUGAUCAGCCACACUGGAACUGAGACACGGUCCAGACUCCUACGGGAGGCAGCAGUGGGGAAUAUUGGACAAUGGGCGCAAGCCUGAUCCAGCCAUACCGCGUGGGUGAAGAAGGCCUUCGGGUUGUAAAGCCCUUUCGUUGGGAAAGAAAAGCAGCAGGUUAAUACCCCGCUGUUCUGACGGUACCCAAAGAAUAAGCACCGGCUAACUGCGU
rnacentral:rRNA from 1 species